AGACCCGAAACCCGGUGAUCUAGCCAUGGGCAGGUUGAAGGUUGGGUAACACUAACUGGAGGACCGAACCGACUAAUGUUGAAAAAUUAGCGGAUGACCUGUGGCUGGGGGUGAAAGGCCAAUCAAACCGGGAGAUAGCUGGUUCUCCCCGAAAGCUAUUUAGGUAGCGCCUCGUGAAUUCAUCUCCGGGGGUAGAGCACUGUUUCGGCUAGGGGGCCAUCCCGGCUUACCAACCCGAUGCAAACUGCGAAUACCGGAGAAUGUUAUCACGGGAGACACACGGCGGGUGCUAACGUCCGUCGUGAAGAGGGAAACAACCCAGACCGCCAGCUAAGGUCCCAAAGUCAUGGUUAAGUGGGAAACGAUGUGGGAAGGCCCAGACAGCCAGGAUGUUGGCUUAGAAGCAGCCAUCAUUUAAAGAAAGCGUAAUAGCUCACUGGUCGAGUCGGCCUGCGCGGAAGAUGUAACGGGGCUAAACCAUGCACCGAAGCUGCGGCAGCGAACGUAUCACCCAAGACAACUUUACGGAGUUGACGAUUGACGGAGCGAAGCGACGUCAAAGCGUUCAUUAAAGUCGAGUUGGCUUAGGGAUACGUUCGUUGGGUAGGGGAGCGUUCUGUAAGCCUGUGAAGGUGUGUCGUGAGGCAUGCUGGAGGUAUCAGAAGUGCGAAUGCUGACAUAAGUAACGAUAAAGCGGGUGAAAAGCCCGCUCGCCGGAAGACCAAGGGUUCCUGUCCAACGUUAAUCGGGGCAGGGUGAGUCGACCCCUAAGGCGAGGCCGAAAGGCGUAGUCGAUGGGAAACGGGUUAAUAUUCCCGUACUUGGUGUUACUGCGAAGGGGGGACGGAGAAGGCUAUGUUGGCCGGGCGACGGUUGUCCCGGUUUAAGCGUGUAGGUGUGUGUUCCAGGUAAAUCCGGUUCACUUUAACACUGAGGCGUGACGACGAGGCACUACGGUGCUGAAGCAACAAAUGCCCUGCUUCCAGGAAAAGCCUCUAAGCAUCAGGUAACACGAAAUCGUACCCCAAACCGACACAGGUGGUCAGGUAGAGAAUACCAAGGCGCUUGAGAGAACUCGGGUGAAGGAACUAGGCAAAAUGGUGCCGUAACUUCGGGAGAAGGCACGCUGACACGUAGGUGAAGUGAUUUACUCAUGGAGCUGAAGUCAGUCGAAGAUACCAGCUGGCUGCAACUGUUUAUUAAAAACACAGCACUGUGCAAACACGAAAGUGGACGUAUACGGUGUGACGCCUGCCCGGUGCCGGAAGGUUAAUUGAUGGGGUCAGCGUAAGCGAAGCUCCUGAUCGAAGCCCCGGUAAACGGCGGCCGUAACUAUAACGGUCCUAAGGUAGCGAAAUUCCUUGUCGGGUAAGUUCCGACCUGCACGAAUGGCGUAAUGAUGGCCAGGCUGUCUCCACCCGAGACUCAGUGAAAUUGAACUCGCUGUGAAGAUGCAGUGUACCCGCGGCAAGACGGAAAGACCCCGUGAACCUUUACUAUAGCUUGACACUGAACAUUGAGCCUUGAUGUGUAGGAUAGGUGGGAGGCUUUGAAGUGUGGACGCCAGUCUGCAUGGAGCCGACCUUGAAAUACCACCCUUUAAUGUUUGAUGUUCUAACGUGGAC
rnacentral:rRNA from 1 species